AUUGAACGCUGGCGGCAUGCUUUACACAUGCAAGUCGAACGGCAGCGGGGGCUUCGGCCCGCCGGCGAGUGGCGAACGGGUGAGUAAUGCAUCGGAACGUGCCCAGUCGUGGGGGAUAACACAUCGAAAGAUGUGCUAAUACCGCAUACGUCCUGAGGGAGAAAGCGGGGGAUCUUCGGACCUCGCGCGAUUGGAGCGGCCGAUGUCGGAUUAGCUAGUUGGUGGGGUAAAAGCCCACCAAGGCGACGAUCCGUAGCGGGUCUGAGAGGAUGAUCCGCCACACUGGGACUGAGACACGGCCCAGACUCCUACGGGAGGCAGCAGUGGGGAAUUUUGGACAAUGGGCGCAAGCCUGAUCCAGCCAUGCCGCGUGAGUGAAGAAGGCCUCGG
rnacentral:rRNA from 1 species